ACUCGGCGGCCAUAUCGUAGGGCAACAGAUUGAAACGUGGAAGCGUAAACAAGAGAGGGUUAUUUAAGUUACAGCAAGAAUAUGGUUAAUAUUUGUGUUGUGUGGAGUUGUAACAACCGGUCAGUGAGUGGAGAUGAAAACAGACGCUUUUAUGACAUUCCUAAAAUUGUAAAACAUCAAGGAAAGCAGACGGAAGAGUUGUCAGCUGAUUGGAGAACACUUUGGCUGGCGCGGAUCAACAGAUCAGAUUUCAACCCGAGAAACGUCAUUUUAAAGUCAGUUCAGAUCACUUCGUUUCAGGAACAAAGGCUGAACUCUAUGACAAGACUAUUUAAAACCUGACUGGGCACCCUCUCUUAAGUUAGGACCUGUGGAACAAGAUCCAUCGAUAACUUUAUCAACAAAGAAGUACGAGAGAGCCCAAAGCCGUGAUGCAUGAAAAUUGGAAAAGACACUGUCAAAACAGGCACUAGAUUUCCAGGAUGUUGAAAGACUUGAGGAUUGUGAUGUGAACUAUGAACUGUGAACUGUGCAAGUUUAGUUACAUUGGACCACUGGAAGCACUGGCACCUAGAGAGGAAGACAAAAGCAAUAAGGAAGACCCAGACCUACUCCACAAGAUGCGUUGUGAACUGCAGAGGCAGUAAAACUGCAAAGAGUGACGAAGCAACCGAUCCUCCAUGAUAAUUGCACAUUGGUAUCGUGAUAAUGGACAGAUAUCUUCAUUUGAGAACAUGAACCUCAAACCCAGGCCUGGUCAAGUUGAAAAAAUAGUAUUGCAUAAUAUUCUCAUUGAAGGAAAAUCACAUGUCCAUUGCCUUGCCAUGGUGAAAUGGUUAUGCAAAGUAAACGAAACAGUUUGACAUUAUUUUGGUAAACCAGUUGAAGUUUGGAAGGCCAAUAUGUAUGGAUGUGAAGGACCUGCUAGUUUUAUUCCCAUUCAAAGAAUAAAAUCCAAAUUUGUAUAUGCUUUUGAGAACUUUCAAGGAAUUAACACAAUCGUUGUUAUACCACGUGAAAGAUUCUUGUGACUUUGAUAUGCAUGAAAUGAAGCCGGACACAUAUGUUGAUCUGGAUAUAUACAGACACAAUUUGACUACCCAAGUAUGCUCAUUACAAAAACUUGUGAAGUCGGUCACAUGCAGCUGAUGUGUGAAGCCGGACACAUAGGUCUACAUAUACAUGCAUGUACAUCCACUAUUUGAUUACAUCAGUCUGCACAUUAUAAAAACUUGUGAAGUCGGGCACAUGCAGCUGAUGUGUGAAGCCGGACACAUAGGUCUACAUAUACAUGUAUGUACAUCAAUUAUUUGAUUACAUCAGUCAGCACUGCCACAUUACAAAAACUUGUGAAGUCGGGCACAUGCAGCUGAUGUGUGAAGCCGGACACAUAGGUCUACAUAUACAUGCAUGUACAUCCACUAUUUGAUUACAUCAGUCUGCACAUUAUAAAAACUUGUGAAGUCGGGCACAUGCAGCUGAUGUGUGAAGCCGGACACAUAGGUCUACAUAUACAUGUAUGUACAUAAAUUAUUUGAUUACAUCAGUCAGCACUGCCACAUUACAAAAACUUGUGAAGUCGGGCACAUGCAGCUGAUGUGUGAAGCCGGACACAUAGGUCUACAUAUACAUGUAUGUACAUCAACUAUUUGAUUACAUCAGUCUGCACAUUACAAAGGUGAAGUCGGGCACAUGCAGCUGAUGUGUGAAGCCGGACACAUAGGUCUACAUAUACAUGUAUGUACAUCCACUAUUUGGUUACAUCAGUGUGCACAUUACAAAAACUGGUGAAGUCGGGCACAUGCAGCUGAUAUGUGAAGCCGGACACAUAGGUCUACAUAUAUAUGUAUGUAUGUACCCACUAUCUGAUUGCAUAAGUCUGCAUAUUACUUGUGAAACCGGACACAUAGGUCUACAUAUAUACAUACAUACACUCUAUGAUCAUUUUAGUCUGCACAUUACAGAAAAAUGUUUGCAUAGCAAAUACUAUUCAGGAAGGGUGAUAAUAUUCUUGCAAUGUACCGUAUACGUUUUCAAUCUAAUUUGAAGUGUUUAUUUUCCUGAUCUUAUAAGUAUUUUUGUAGUUAAUUAUUUAUUGACUGUAAAGUGUUACAUUAAGAUGGUAUUUAUUAUGUACAGGAAGCAGUUUUUUAAAUUUAUUUUGUAAUUAAAAAGUAUAUUAAUUUGAAGAAAA